GGAUGAAUCUGCGAGGACCAUCUCGUAAGGCUAAAUACAUUUGGUGACUGAUAGCGUAGCAGUACCGUGAGGGAAAGGUGAAAAGAACCCCGGGAGGGGAGUGAAAUAGAACCUGAAACCGUAUGCCUACAAGCGGUCAGAGCGGGGCUAUAUGUCCUGUGAUGGCGUGCCUUUUGCAUAAUGAGCCAACGAGUUAAUAUCAUAAGCGAGGUUAAGUAUUACAGGUAUGGAGCCGCAGCGAAAGCGAGUGUUAAUAGCGCGUUUAGUUUAUGGUAUUAGACCCGAAACCAGGUGAUCUACCCAUGGUCAGGUUGAAGGUUGGGUAAAACCAACUGGAGGACCGAACCAACCGUCGUUGAAAAGGCGGUGGAUGAACUGUGGGUAGGGGUGAAAGGCCAAUCAAACCUGGAGAUAGCUGGUUCUCUCCGAAACAUAUUUAGGUAUGGCCUCAGGUUUAUAUUAACGGAGGUAGAGCACUGAAUGGGCUAGGGGGCUUACAGGCUUACUGAACCCAAUCAAACUCCGAAUGCCGUUAAUCAAUGCCUGGGAGACAGGGCGUGAGGGAUAAGCUUCACGUGCGAGAGGGGAACAACCCAGACUGUCAGCUAAGGCCCUUAAAUAGAUGCUUAGUGCGUAAGGAUGUUCAAUUGCCCAGACAGCCAGGAUUUUGGCUUAGAAGCAGCCACGAUUUAAAGAGUGCGUAACAGCUCACUGGUCGAGUGGUAGAGCACCGAAGAUGAUCGGGACUUAAGCAUUUUGCCGAAGCUACGGAAUUAUACCUUUUGGUAUAGUUGGUAGGAGAGCGUUGUGAACUGCGCAGAAGGUGAGUUGUGAGACUUGCUGGAGCGUUCACAAGAGACCAUGUUGGCAUGAGUAACGAUAAUGCAGGCGAGAAACCUGCACACCAUAAGCCCAAGGAUUCCUGAGUAAAGUUAAUCUGCUCAGGGUUAGUCGGCCCCUAAGGUGUAGCCGUUUGGCGAAGCUGAUGGGAAUCGGAUUAAUAUUUCCGAACCUGUGUAUCAAGCGAUGGAGUGACGCGAUGUUGCAGCGGGGACGGCUGCUGGAAUAGCCGUUGAAUUCGUGUAGGAGGUGUCCCAGGCAAAUCCGGGGCACGCAUACUCCGAGGCGCAGGACGAAGCUUAAGCUACAAAGCCCGUGUAUAUAUAUCGCCGAGAAAUAGCUUCUAAGCAUAUUGGUAUACAGACCGUACCGCAAACCAACACAGGUAGGCGAGGAGAGUAUCCUCAGGUGUUCGAGCAAACUCUGGUUAAGGAACUAGGCAAAAUCACCCCGUAACUUUGGGAGAAGGGGUACCCCGUUAUUGUGAAGGACUUCGCGUCCGGAGCGAGAGGGGGUCGCAGUGAAUAGGCCCAAGCGACUGUUUAUCAAAAACACAGGUCUAUGCGAAGGGGAAACCCACGGUAUAUAGACUGACGCCUGCCCGGUGCCGGAAGGUUAAAUGGAGAGGUUAGCGUCUUCGGAUGCGAAGCUUUGAAAUGAAGCCCCGGUAAACGGCGGCCGUAACUAUAACGGUCCUAAGGUAGCGAAAUUCCUUGUCGGGUAAGUUCCGACCUGCACGAAUGGUGUAACGACUUGGGCGCUGUCUCAACCAGGGGCUCGGUGAAAUUGAAGUAGCGGUGAAGAUGCCGCUUACCCGCGAACGGACGGGAAGACCCCGUGAACCUUUACUGCAACUUGGCAUUGUAAAUUGGUGCAGUAUGUGUAGGAUAGGUGGGAGGCUAUGAAGCGUGUACGCCAGUAUGCGUGGAGCCAUCGUUGAAAUACCACCCUUAUUGUAUUGGUUUACUAACGAUGCUAAAGGUAUUGGACAUUGCCAGGUGGGCAGUUUGACUGGGGCGGUCGCCUCCGAAAGCGUAACGGAGGCUUACCAAGGUUCCCUCCGGCUGGUUGGUAAUCAGCCAUAGAGCAUAAAGGUAUAAGGGAGCUUGACUGCGAGACUGACGGGUCGAGCAGGUGGGAAACCAGGUCUUAGUGAUCCGGCGGUUCUGAAUGGAAGGGCCGUCGCUCAAAGGAUAAAAGGUACUCCGGGGAUAACAGGCUGAUACCGCCCAAGCGUCCACAGCGACGGCGGUGUUUGGCACCUCGAUGUCGGCUCAACUCAUCCUGGGGCUGAAGAAGGUCCCAAGGGUUCGGCUGUUCGCCGAUUAAAGAGUUACGCGAGCUGGGUUCAGAACGUCGUGAGACAGUUCGGUCCCUAUCCUUCGUGGGCGCAGGAAAUUUGAGGAGAGCUACAUCUAGUACGAGAGGACCGAUGUGGACGAACCUCUGGUGUACCGGUUGUGAUGCCAAUUGCAUUGCCGGGUAGCCACGUUCGGUGAGGAUAACCGCUGAAAGCAUCUAAGCGGGAAGCCAACUCCAAGAUUAGAUUUCCCAACUCAGACAGGUUGGAGACUACAACCUUGAUAGGUCACAGGUGUAAGAAUGGCAACAUUCUCAGCCGAGUGAUACUAAUAAGUCGAUCGGCUUUCAC
rnacentral:rRNA from 1 species